UCAAACUUGGUCAUUUAGAGGAAGUAAAAGUCGUAACAAGGUUUCCGUAGGUGAACCUGCGGAAGGAUCAUUAACACAUCAUUUCAAUAUAUACAUCGUAGCACAGAUAGAUACCGACGGAGUGACGUCGAUCGAGAUUGGUUAGAGCUCCUACGGAGCUGUCUCGGUUGAUUGCUGCCGGGUGCUAACGAGGCUGUUUUCAGUCUCGGAGGCAUGCUCAUCGGCCAGAAUCACAAUGUCGGUAAUUCAGCCUCUACCAGGCUGGCCUUUUUUUCAAACCUGAACUUUAACUGAUUUCGGCUUCGGAUCGAGAGGAGCAAUCCUUUCUCUGGGGUCUUCGGAUUUUUAAUCCAAAACACAACUCUUAACAGCGGAUAUCUCGGUUCUCGUAACGAUGAAGAACGCAGC
rnacentral:misc_RNA from 1 species